GACGAACGCUGGCGGCGUGCCUAAUACAUGCAAGUCGAACGCUGAAGCGAGGAGCUUGCUCUUCUUGGAUGAGUUGCGCACGGGUGAGUAACGCGUAGGUAACCUGCCUUUUAGCGGGGGAUAACUAUUGGAAACGAUAGCUAAUACCGCAUAACAAUGGAUGACACAUGUCAUUUAUUUGAAAGGGGCAAUUGCUCCACUACAAGAUGGACCUGCGUUGUAUUAGCUAGUAGGGGAGGUAAUGGCUCACCUAGGGGAAGAAACAUAGCCGACCUGAGAGGGGGGUCCGGCCACACGGGAACGGGAACAGGGCCAGAACUCCUAGGGAAGGAGGAGGAGGGAAACCUUGGGAAAAGGGGCAAACCUUACCGGGGAAAGGCGCGGGAGGGGAGGAGGGUCUCGGAUCGGAAAGACUCGGUGUAAGGGAAGAACGGGUGUGAGAGUUGAAAGUUCACAUUGUGACGGUAGCUAACCAGAAAGCGACGGCUAACUACGUG
rnacentral:rRNA from 1 species